GGCCUGUUAGCUCAGUUGGUUAGAGCGCCGUGCUGAUAACGCGGAGGUCAUGAGUUCGAUCCUCUUACGGUCCA
rnacentral:tRNA from 1 species